GUUGUAUGGUUAAGUGACUAAGCGUACACGGUGGAUGCCUUGGCAGUCAGAGGCGAUGAAAGACGUAGUAACUUGCGAUAAGCCCAGAUUAGGUAGUAACAACCAUUUGAGUCUGGGAUUUCUGAAUGGGGAAACCCACGUGCAUAAGCACGUAUCCUUACCUGAAUACAUAGGGUAAGGAGGCGAACCGGGGGAACUGAAACAUCUAAGUACCCCGAGGAAAAGAAAUCAACCGAGAUUCCGAAAGUAGCGGCGAGCGAAAUUGGACUAGCCCUUAAGCUUUACACGCGUUAGACGAACGGUCUGGAAAGUCCGACGAUACAGGGUGAUAGUCCCGUAGUUGACGACGUGUGUUCAGUGAAAUCGAGUAGGGCGGGACACGUGAUAUCCUGUCUGAAUAUGGGGGGACCAUCCUCCAAGGCUAAAUACUACUGACUGACCGAUAGUGAACCAGUACCGUGAGGGAAAGGCGAAAAGAACCCCUGUGAGGGGAGUGAAAUAGAACCUGAAACCGUGUACGUACAAGCAGUAGGAGCACCUUCGUGGUGAACCCCUGUGAGGGGAGUGAAAUAGAACCUGAAACCGUGUACGUACAAGCAGUAGGAGCAGGCUUUGUCCUGUGACUGCGUACCUUUUGUAUAAUGGGUCAGCGACUUAUAUUCAGUGGCAAGGUUAACCAUCUAGGGGAGCCGUAGGGAAACCGAGUCUUAACUGGGCGUUCAGUCUCUGGAUAUAGACCCGAAACCAGGUGAUCUAGCCAUGGGCAGGUUGAAGGUUGAGUAACAUCAACUGGAGGACCGAACCGACUAAUGUUGAAAAAUUAGCGGAUGACUUGUGGCUAGGGGUGAAAGGCCAAUCAAACCUGGAGAUAGCUGGUUCUCCCCGAAAGCUAUUUAGGUAGCGCCUCGGACGAAUACUACUGGGGGUAGAGCACUGUUAAGGCUAGGGGGUCAUCCCGACUUACCAACCCUUUGCAAACUCCGAAUACCAGUAAGUACUAUCCGGGAGACACACGGCGGGUGCUAACGUCCGUCGUGGAGAGGGAAACAACCCAGACCGCCAGCUAAGGUCCCAAAUUACUACUAAGUGGGAAACGAUGUGGGAAGGCUCAGACAGCCAGGAUGUUGGCUUAGAAGCAGCCAUCAUUUAAAGAAAGCGUAAUAGCUCACUGGUCGAGUCGGCCUGCGCGGAAGAUGUAACGGGGCUAAGUAGUAAACCGAAGCUGCGGCAAUGUGCUUUUGCAC
rnacentral:rRNA from 1 species